UGACUGAACUUUAGGCAUGGCUACGAAAUACAACAUGUCACUAUUGAGUUCCAAUGAUGAAUUAGCACAAGAUACACUAAAAACAAGAUUACUCUACUCUGAAAGUUGAGAUGCUAGAAAGCAUCACCGGAAUAGUAGAACUUGUUGAAAUAUAUGUUCCAGGGACAAUACUUUAGUUACUUGAACAUCUUUCAAAGGGAAAUACAAGUUUUCUCAACUGAUACGAUACAGGGUCAAUUUUUUUCGAGAAAACGCAAAAGAAUUUGCAUUUCAUUGCAUUGAACAGGAAGAAGACAUCGGGGGUACAACCUCCAGAAAGGAGGGACACACACACACGACCGUUCUCACCAAGCGACUACAACUAGGUAAGGAGGUGCCCUCAGCUACAGACACACAACGAUAUUAGGCCUCGCCCUGCCGCCAUUGCAAGACACCUCUAGGAACAAUUGCAGCUCCAGGACUGCCCAG
rnacentral:lncRNA from 1 species